rnacentral:lncRNA from 1 species
UUGGAUUUGUGUAAUGGGAAUCGGAUCGUGAUGAGAUCACGAUAAUGAGAUCGAUUCACCUUUAAACACAUAUCCUAAAUAAUCCCGGUCAUAAGUUACUCGAGAGGGACAUCGUGAUAACCGGACAGACUGGUGUGCUGUAUACCCGUCCAUAUGAUGGAUGCAGCUGGUCUCAUAGCUGCUCGUAUAGGGACACUAGGGAUACAGUACAGGUGCUCAUUGGAGAAUGAGUUCACUGAUUGAUCCGCUUACGGAAUGCUGGAUGGUUGAUAAUGCCUUAUUGUCAGACAGCGAUUCCGUAGUCCUAGUGGUG